ensembl:snRNA U6 U6 spliceosomal RNA
UGUUUGAAAACUCAGCAGCACAUAUACUAAAAAAAACUUGGAAUGAUACAGAGAAGAUCAGCAUGGACCCUGCACAAGGAUGACAUGCAAAUUCGUGAAGUGUUCCGUAUUUCU